rnacentral:misc_RNA from 1 species
AUUUGGAGCAACAAGAGCUGCACGUUCAAAGUAACUUGAGGCUUUAGCUUGAUCGUGAUGGACUUCCCAAACCAACUGAGCAUACAGCAUCAGAGUUUCACCAUCUUCAGGGUAUGUUAAUGUAGCUUGAUAGCACUGUUCCUCAGCUUCAUCAAGUUUUCCCUCGGACAAUAAAGACUGCACAUAGUUCCUCAGAAGCAACGAAUGAUCGAUUGAGGGCAGCUCAUCCACCAUCUUCUCGUCAAAGAAAUCAACAGAAUCAUACCCACCGCCAAGACCAG